GGGCGGGGACGGGCGAUGCAAGAUGGCGGAGGAGGGCUCCGUUUGCAGCUUCGCCUUCAGGAAGCGGGGCCCGGCGGCGGGCAGGGGCCGGCGCAAGCGGCCCGGCAGCGACCAGGAGCAGGGGAGCAGCGGGGAGGAGGGCAGCACGGUGGUGAGGAAGGAGCGGCGGCGGGAGGCCCCCAACCCCAUGAUCCAGAAGACCAGGAGAAGCACGAAGGAGAAGCCCUCCUAUGCCCUGAGCAGCAGUGAUGAGGAGGAUCCCUCCAAGGAGAUCGGAGUCACCUACAAAUCAACCAGGUCUGCGAAACCUGUUGGCCCAGAAGACAUGGGAGCCACAGCUGUGUAUGAACUGGACACUGAGAAGGAGAAGGAUGCCCAGGCCAUCUUUGAACGCAGCCAGAAGAUCCAGGAGGAGCUGAGAGGAAAGGAGGAUGAUAAAAUUUACCGUGGGAUUAACAACUACCAGAAGUAUGUGAAGCCCAAGGACACAUCGAUGGGAAACGCCUCUUCAGGAAUGGUCAGAAAAGGACCCAUCCGUGCCCCGGAGCACCUGCGGGCCACUGUGAGGUGGGACUACCAGCCUGACAUCUGCAAGGACUACAAGGAAACAGGGUUCUGUGGCUUUGGAGACAGCUGCAAGUUCCUCCACGACCGCUCCGACUACAAGCACGGCUGGCAGAUCGAGCGGGAGCUGGACGAGGGCCGGUACGGAGUCAACGAUGAGGAAAACUACGAGGUGAGCAGUGAUGAGGAGGAUAUGCCUUUCAAAUGCUUCAUCUGCAGAAGUUCCUUCAAGAACCCUGUUGUCACCAAGUGCAGGCACUACUUCUGUGAGAGCUGUGCCCUCCAGCACUACCGCAAGUCCCAGCGCUGCUACGUCUGUGACAAGCAAACCAACGGAGUCUUCAACCCAGCUAAAGAGCUCAUGGCAAAACUGGAAAAACACAAAGGGGAGGAAGAGGAGGAGGAAGAGCAGCAGCAUUCAGACCACGGAGAGGAUCCACAGUAGCAGAGCAACCUGUUUUGUAUCUAGUUGAAUAAAACUUUCAUGGGAGACAUAAAACCUCAGCAGUUGCCUCGGGCCAGCAGCUGUGACCUGUGCCUGUGUCCCACCUGCAGCUGCUGAAGUGUCUCUGCUGGGCUCCUUGUCUGCUGCUCCCUGGAGGCACAAGGAAUUUCACACAGUCCUGUCAACAGCAAGACUGCCAGGAGAGACACAGGCAGGUGGAAACCUCUGAAGCAGAAAGGCAGCACCAAGGGAAUGAAAGCAGGAGGCUCUGGUGAGCAGCAUUAUGGAGCAAUGGCAGCUGGUGAGACACUGAGCCAUGGGUAAGUGCUUUGCUUUCAUCAACUCCACUCCAGAUACAGCAUAAGCCAACAAAACAGAUGCAAAAAUAAAAAUUAACCUUAUUAAUGGUGUAGGCUGUUUCAACAGGAAUGGAAAAAGACUGUAAAUUCCCUUUUUAAAAGUCUUCCAGUCUUCACUUCUCCAUGUUAGCAGUGACUGAGAGUUAAUGCAAAAGGAGCUCAACCAGGAAUUUAUCUCCACGAUACAAGAGUUUAAAAAUUAAGAAGUUUAACUGAAAUGUCAUUUAUGGAACAGUGCAAAAAAGCUCCUCAGUGGUUUCACACAGGAUAACUUUUGGUGUGUGGUCAAAAGUAGCUGCAAAAUGAAGUCACCCAGGACAAGCUUUAUGCCAUGGCAUUCAUUAAGGCUUUCCAGCCUGUUGAUCUGAUUGAAAUUUGAGAUAGAUUGAAGGAAAUUAAUCUUUGAAAGGCAACGACUGUUAUAAAUGCCAGAAGAAAAUCAAUUUACUUGGCUUUAUUCAAAACUAGAAGAGGGGAGAUUGAGGUGAGACCUGAGGAGGAAAUUCUUCAGUUGUGAGGGUGGUGAGAGCCUGGCCCAGGUUGCCCAGGGAAGCUGUGGCUGCCCCAUCCCUGGCAGUGUUGAAGGGCAGGUUGGAUGGGGCUUAGAGCAACCUGGGCUGGUGGGAGGUGUCUCUGCCCAUGCAGGGGGGUUGGAUCUAGAUGAUCCUUAAGGUCCCUUCCAACCCAAACCAUUCUAUGAUGUAAACAUUCCAUAUACAUCUCAUAUUUUCAGCUUUGUGCAGGUGAGAAAUAAUUUAGACAAAACAAAUUGUGACCUGUGUUGUGCUGAGCACUGGUCAUUAUGAACCAGAGGGGGCAGCAGCAGGGCCUGCAAGAACAAAAACCAUUCAGGUCAAGUUUUCAGCUGCCACUUUUUGGCUGGGUGGGUAUUUCAACAGACUUUGCAAGUGAUUUUAGUCUUUAAGAGCCAAAGCUCUCCAAGCAUGCACAGAACUGGCUCUGAAGGUGACCAGGAAAACAGGAGGCAAAGUCACCUCAAACUGAAAACAACACAAGGUUUGGGUUUGAUGUUGGGAGCCCUUGUUGUGGCUGCUCUGCAGGGAGGAGAAAGAAAAUCAGAACCAAUUUAUUUCUGAGAAAGGAACACUGGGUUUGAAUGGUCAGCAUCACACUUUGUGGGCCUAGUUUUUGGAAGUCCAAUCAACUAACCUUUUCAUUCUGAAAGAGAAUUCUAAGAGUUUAGCA